GAUGAACGCUGGCGGCGUGCCUAAUACAUGCAAGUCGAGCGAACAGAUGAUGAGCUUGCUCCUCUCACGUUAGCGGCGGACGGGUGUGUAACACGUGGAUAACCUACCUAUAAGUCUGAUAUCACUUCGGGAAUCCGGCGCUAAUCCCGGAUAAUCUCUUGAUCCGCAUGGUUCAAUGGUGAAUGACGGCUUUGGUGUCUCUUCUCGCUGCUUCCGCGCCGCAUUGGCUAGUUGGUAAGGUAACGGCUUACCAAGGCUACGAUGCGUAGCCGACCUGAGAGGGUGAUCGGCCACACUGGAACUGAGACACGGUCCAGAGGACUACGGGAGGCAGCAGUAGGGAAUGGGCGGCAGUGGUGGAAAGCCUGACGGAGUGGGGGCACGUGAGUGAUGAAGGCGUUCGGUGCGUAAUAAUCGGUUAUGGGGGAAGAACAGCUGUGGAAGGAAAUAUGGACGGCUUGACGGUAAUUAAUCAGAAAGCAACGGCUAACUACGUG
rnacentral:rRNA from 1 species